GUAAUCUUUCCACCUGAUUCCCCAGGCACAAAUACUCAAAACUUGAGGGAUGAGGCUCAGAACCACUAAUCUAGAGUAUGUUCCUAACAUUUCCUACAACCACUACGGAGAGGCUAUACUUACUGGUGAAUCCAUGAUCUCUAUUGCAAAAGUGGAUUGGCUGUACACAGAAGUUUCCAAACAUUUGCUACUUUCAGACCCUCCAACAUGAUCACAUCCACCAGGUGACUGCAAUCAUAAAUGAUGGCGACGUCUAGGAGCAGAGCAUUUUGUACCUUGUGGAAGGAAUCACGAUGGAAGGUUUGCACUUGUUGCCAGUUAAUAUUUGUCAGUAAAAUUACAUUUACAGCAAUCUGCUCUUGAGGAGCUCACAUGUGCUCAGAAAAGGAACCAAGGGCCUUCAUAGUGGAUUGGACUGCAUUGCUGCCUUGGGCCCCCUCACAACCUGAUCCUUAGCAGCAGACUAGGCUGCUUUCACCGCGUUGUACUAAGUGAUACAGUACCAUGACCCUUUCACAAGGCUGUAGCUAUGUGUGUGCGAGGUAUUGUGCUGCAUAGGCCAUAGGCCCAGUGGUUGACAGUAUAGCUGGCUUGCAAUGUGUCUGGAACAGCCUGAGAUCUGCCCGGGUAUGUCCUCACCAUCUUCAUGACAUCAUAACCUCACAUGUUUGGGGGGAGCGUCAGGUCUGGCCCAUAACGUUCCCUUAUUCAGCAACGCACUUGCAUGAUAUAUAACAUCACAGUUUCAGCUCCAUUAGCAAUAAUGAUAACUUGAUCUUUUCCGUGUGUGUAUACAAACAGCAUGAAACAAAUCUAUGGCUGACUCUAUAUUGAGGAAUGAGUGUCUGGUUUCUGGAUAUUGUUGCAUUUUUGUCAGAAUAAGCAGAAUGAGUGUCUUUUUAUGUGGGAAACUCGUGUCAUUUUUAUCAUGCCAUUGUAUGUGAAUAAAGAAUUUCCUAACACGUCCACAGAUUAACACCACAACACUGACCGGACUGAGAAAUCUCGCAGCUGCCUUUCAUUAGCAGUAACCGCAAUGGAAUGAAAAACACAAAAACACAUUUAGCCUCACAUUUUAAUGCGAAAAAGUAGUUUGUGUUAUAAUUGACAGAGGGAUCCAUUUAGGAAACAGUCAAUUUUAAAUGUUUCUAAAAGAUGAUAGAAAACAACUGAUUUGAAAUGAAAAGGGGAACGUGUCCUUUAAUUGGUACCUGCCUUAGUAUUAUUUAAAAACAGACAUGUAGAAUAGGACCAUUCAGAGAUCUUUCUAUGGUGAAACUCCUUCUGUUUUUGGUCAAUUACCAAUAGACAACCGAUUUAUGAACGUUGUCUUGUGUGCUUGGAUGGAAAUAAGAUCUCAACUUGUAUUCUCAUUAUCAUGUCCUCCCAAAAUCACUCUUCUCAUGUCGCAAACCCUACCAACUCUGUGACCAAAUGACACAACACAGUAGUGCUGUCAAUUUAUUUGAUAACAAAUACAAGUGUACGGUGUAUUUUAUAUAAGGCGUCUAUUCAAUUAUUGUGCUUAACAUUAACUAUACCCUUUAAGCUAGCUUAUCAACUAAAAAUAACGACACGGACACAACUGCGUUGGAUUAAAUGGUCAUUGAAUUUAUUAAUUGG